CGCGUAGACGGUUUUGUAAGUCAGAUGUGAAAUCCCUGGGCUCAACCUGGGAACUGCAUUUGAUACUGCAUGGCUAGAGUAUGGAAGAGGGAAGUGGAAUUUCCGGUGUAGCGGUGAAAUGCGUAGAUAUCGGAAGGAACACCAGUGGCGAAAGCGACUUCCUGGUCCAAUACUGACGUUCAUGUGCGAAAGCGUGGGGAGCAAACAGGAUUAGAUACCCUGGUAGUCCACGCCAUAAACGAUGACAACUAGAUGUUGGGAGGGUCUGCCUCUCGGUGUCGCAGCUAACGCGUUAAGUUGUCCGCCUGGGGAGUACGGCCACAAGGUUGAA
rnacentral:rRNA from 1 species